rnacentral:lncRNA from 1 species
GAACAGACCAGAGGAACAGGACAGAGAGCAGCUGUGGCUGGCCGCCCCACCCACAUCUCCAGCCCCAAGGGCUUUCUCAAGUGUUCUGCAGUGCUCAGAGCCCUAGAAGACCUGGUAGGCGAGUGGUUGGUGGGAGCGGGGAAAGGAGAAGGUAAGUGGUGAGGCCUGACAGCAAGAGGAUCACAGCUACACUGGCGAAUAUGUGCUUAGAUCUGCACUUGAGGAGGAGAACCCGCAAUAGAGCACAUGGUGCUCUGCUGACGGAUGGAAAUCUUACAGGAGGGCAUCCAUGGGCUCUGAACUGUCUGCUGCCUUUCGUUUAGAAUCUGGCCUCAUAAAGGGAUUUGACAAGUUCUUAAACCUGACUCAAUGUCAUCCAGCCUCCAUAGUCAAAGAAUUCUGUCACAGGAAAGGAUCAAAAAAGCAGCCACCCUUCUUAGAUUGGUAAGAGAAGUCAGGUCACAGAGCUAAGCAUUGUUCCAAAGUUGGGAGAGACAGGCACAUAGAGAGAGAGAGAGUCGUAGUUUACUCAUGUGGAAACCCACUUACAGAAGUUGGGAAACCUAAACUGUGAUUGAUCCAUUCUAAGGGCUCAAUGUGGACAAGGCUAAGAGUUAAAAUCUCCAGGGAACCCAAUCAUAGAAUACCCUAGACUCUUGUAUCUUUUACUUCCUGAUGCUUGACCAGGUUUUCAAGAUAAAUGUCAGAGAAAAAUCCCUUGUGCUUGUGUUCUGGCAGGAGGACAGCUAAAGCAACCAUUUUAAAAUGCACCAGAGCAUCCUGUUCUUAAGAAGGUAUGCCCUCAGGAAAACUAUGCAACCACAGCCUACCCCUCUAGGGGGUUGGUUUUGUUCCAUUUUGUUUUUUGUUUUGCUUUCUCCCUCUCAGGUUUUGUCCAGCCAAAUCUACCCAGGGAAAGGGAAAUAGUCAACACCAGGCCCUGUAGCUACCCUGUCCUCUCUCUAAAUUCAGGGGAACAGGCUCAUCAAAAGACAGAGACCUAACUAUAGAACUAUAGAAUGCUUGCCCUCCCCACACAUUUUACUGUACUAAAGGCCCAUUUACCAAAAUUCCUUGUAAUUAAUGUCCAUUUUUCAAUGACAAAUUGUAUGGUAUACUAAAAGUUCUCUGCCUCUCUCUCUCUCUCUCUCUCUCAAACACACACACACACACACACACACACACACACACACACACACACAGCUUGAAAAGACCAAACAAGCAUCAGAACUAGAGUCAGAUAUGACAAGAAUGUAGGAAUUAUCUGACUGAGAAUUUAAAACAACUGUGAUUAAUAUGCUAAGGGCGCUAAUGGAAAAGUAAGCAACAUGCAAGGACACAUGUAAGCAAGUAGAAUGUGAGAUGGACAUUCUAAGAAAGAAUCCAAAAGAACUGAUAGAAAUCAAAAACAUUAUAAAAAAUGAUGAAUGACUUUGAAGGGCUCAUUAGCGGAUAGGGUACAGUUCGAUAUGUAUUUAUUUUUUAAAACAUCUAAGGUAAUCCUAGUAAUAAAUAAAAGGAAGGGGUAUGAUUUUGAAAAUUGACAUAGAUUUUUAAGAUGACAGACAAUUCACAGAAGAGGAAACAUUAAUGGCUAGAGUUUGCUCAACUCCACAAAUUCUCAUGGAAUACAAAUUAUAAUAGUGAGAUACCAUGUUUUUGCAAAACAGAUUGUCCUUAUCCAAGGUGAUAUACUAGUGACACAUAGAUAUCACUUUUUUAGAUGUUGUUUGGACCGCAAUUUGACAGCACCAAAAGUCCAUGCCUUUUGACCAGCAUUUUGACCUUGUUUCAUUUGUCUUAGUCAAUUUAUUCAGGUGUGCGCACAAAGCAGCAAAGAAUAUUUAUUACAACAAAAUUUAAAAUAGAAAAAAAUGGAAACAACUUAAAUGGCCAUCACUAAGGACACUGGCUAAAUUCUACGACGUCUGUGGAAUACAAUGUAGCAGUGAAAAAUAAUGAAGAUUUAUAGGGAAAAGACCAUAUGAAUGGACUUAUGAAAAGACCUCAAAGGGCGAGGGAUUUAGCUCAGUGGUUCUGCCACCUGCCUCGCAAGCAAGUGCAAGGUCCUGAGUUCAAUCUCCGGUACCAAAAAAAAAAGACCUCAAAGACAUAUUGUUAUUGAAAGUUGCAAGUUGCAGAAUACUAUAAAACACUACAAAAAAGCAUCAUAAAUGAACACACAGGACUACACAUUUCUCUAUGUAAGUGAGGUCAUGCAAAUGCAUAUAAGAAUAUCCAAAAAAAAAAAAAAAUUAAAGAAAAUCGGAACAGAUUUAUACCCAACUGGUAAUAGCAAUACCUGAGGAAAAGGAAGUAAGUUGAUGAUGAGAGGAUUGUCUUAAUCCAUUUGUACUGCUAAAGAAAAAUAUCACAGACUGGGUAAUUUAGAAACAAUAGAAAAUGAUUUCUCAUACUUUUGGAGGCUAGGAAGUCCAAGAUCGAGCAGGUCAGCAGGUACAGUGUCUGGGGUGGGGCUGUUCCCUGCUUCUAAGAUGGCACCUUGAAUGCUGUGUCCUCCAAAAGGUACAAGUCUUGUGUCAUACUGCAUUCCCUUCAUCAUAUGGCAGAAGACUUGGAGAAGGGAAUAAACCCAUUCCCUCAAGCGCUUUUACAAGAGUCCCAAUCCCAUCCAUGAGGGACCUGUCUUGAUGACUUACCAAUCUCCUGCAGGGCCCAUCUCUUAAUACUAUCCCAGGGGUGACUAAGUUUUUUCUUUUGUUUUUUUUCCCCUGGUACCAGGGAUCCAACUCAGGACUUUGCGCUUGUGAAUCAGGCUAAAAAAAGGCUGAGGAUGUAUCUCAGUGCAAAGUCCUUGAAUUCAAUCCCCAGUACUGAGAGAAAGAAAGAAAACCAAGACAAAAGAAAAAAGAAGGAACAAGCAUCAACUGACAGAUGUUGGGAUCGAACUCAGGACCUUGCGCUUCCGAGGCAGGCAGCAGAGCCAUUGAGCUAAAUCCCCGGCUGUGCAGUCAGGCAGGCUCUAUUGUAUGGGUGACAUCUGGAAAGCCCUGAAGAAGGGGUCGAACUUGGAACCUUGUGCUUGCGAGGCAGGCAGCAGCACCACUGAGCUAAAUCCCCAGCCCUGACUUUUUUUCUACGAGCAAUGGAUAGCCACUGAAGCACUUCAAGAAAAAGGACUAACUCUAAUGAGUAUUGGAGAAAGAUUGCUUUGGUAUGUUUUGGGAGGAUGGCUAUUGAUGACAGAGGAUUGGCAGCUGGAGACAAUGCUGACAGAGCAUACAGCACCUGGGAAGAAACAAUUACAGACUGAAAGACAAGAGAAAAUGUUUGCUGAGGGCUGGAGAUUCAGCACAGUGGUGCCACCACCUGCCUCGAAAGCACAAAGUCCUAAGUUCGAUCCCCGGUACUAAGAAAGAAAAAAAGAAAAUGUUUGCUGAACCUGCAUGUGGAGGAAAUCAGGUGGGUAUGUUAGAAACUCAAGAAGGCACAACCAGGGUGAGCUGUAGAAUCCCACCCCUUCCUGCCUUCAUCUGAGACCAAGAUCACACACCUGGGAACCAGUCUGCAAGCAGGAAGCACGAGAUGCAUGGUGCAUGCUAUUCAGAGCCCCCAAGGAGACAAAGCUAUGGAGUGGAUGGCAUGUUACAUGUAGAUGGAUGUUUUGAUUUUUUUCAUUGUUGUUUUAUGUCUGUGUGUUUUCCUAUUAAGGAUAAAAUAAAUCCACUCUGCCACUCAGAGCUCGACUUCCCUCCCUAGUCCUAGGUUCUGAUUAUUGAGGCAAAGUGACAUUUUCCUACAGUGCUGGUCAUUAUUUUGCUCCUGGAAUUGCAAAUCCAAGGACUAAAUGGCACAGUCUGCAUACAUCAAGGAGGGAAGGGAAUCCCACCAGAGGGGCCUUGAAACAAAGGAAACAAAUAACUUCAAAACCAUAUCAUGCAAUCUGGACCUGACAUAGGACAGAUGGGACUGAAUUGUUUGAUUCUCUCAGCAGAACAGCGGAAGGAAAUAUUUUUAAAUGAGAUUAUAUUAUUUUCCCCAGUUCUUGUUAUGAAACCUUCCUGAAAUGAACUUUAAAUAUCAUGGCCCCUGUUGUGAUGAAUGAGAUUCAGCAGACGGGAGGAGCACUGCAAGGAAGUGGCUCCAUUAUGGAAAAUGUGAGAGGCAGAGGCUGGCAUGAAGAGUGGACCCCUGUGGGCCCCUUGGCUGUGUGAAAAGCCAGGCUUUGAAGCACAGCUGGGUGUGUUAAGAAGGGACAAGGGGCUUUGAAAAGCUAUGUGCUCCACAAAAACAUUAAGUAAGGACAUUUGUUGUAAUAAAUAAAACAUCUUCUGCAUUCUUUGCCUUCAAUGAGAAAACGAUUUACAACUAGUUAUUGUAUAGAAGAGAAAAAAUAUCCUAGAAAUGAUGAAAAUCUUCUUAAAAUCAAGCAUUAAUUCUUUAUAAUGCUAGGCUUUCCAUGCAGAAUUUUCCUAUGGAAGUUGUCUGUAUCAUCCAGCCCCCUGAGUAAUGAC